AACGAACGCUGGCGGCGCGCUUAAUACAUGCAAGUCGAACGAGAAGGUGUAGCAAUACACUUGUAAAGUGGCGAACGGGUGAGGAAUACAUGGGUAACCUACCCUCGAGUGGGGAACAACCAGCCGAAAGGUUGGCUAAUACCGCGUACGCUUCCGGGUCUUCGGAUUCGGAAGGAAAGUCAUACCGUGGGUAUGACGCUCAAGGAUGGGCUCAUGUCCUAUCAGCUUGUUGGUAGGGGUAACGGCCACCAAGGCUCCGACGGGUAGCUGGUCUGAGAGGACGAUCAGCCACACUGGCACUGCGACACGGGCCAGACUCCUACGGGAGGCAGCAGUAAGGAAUAUUGCGCAAUGGGCGAAAGCCUGACGCAGCGACGCCGCGUGGGGAGUGAAGGUCUUCGGA
rnacentral:rRNA from 1 species